AUUGAUUUGUCUCCCAAGUCCCUUCCUUAGGCCAAGGCUAAGCCAAUCAAUGGUAAGAUUCGGCUCACUAGUCACUAGUCUCUAGUCUCAUUUCAUAGUUUGAGGAACAAACCAAACUUAUGAACAUCUAAGCACAAAGCAUGAACUCAAUUCAUUUACAAAUUUAGUGACACCAACAAUGUCACCUACAUCACUUGUAAGAGCAACACCAAACUUCUUAUCACUCCCCAAUUUCCCAAACCAAAACCAAAAUACUACCUUCACUCUUCUUCCUCCAUUUCUUUAUCCUCUUCCACUCUCCAUACCUUUCUUCAAAUACCCUCCAAAAAAGUUCAGCUCUUUAUCUUCCCCAAUUCUCUGUUUUUCCUUUUCUUCUAAUUCCCAAAAUUUCCCAUUUACAGCGUCAAGUUUGAAUCAGGAAGAAUAUGAAGAAGAACAAGUAAUUGGAGAUUGCCUUGUUUUUGAAGAUGGAAUUUUUGAGGACCCAUAUCUUGAACAAGAACUAAACCCUCCAAUUUCUUCAAUUUCUAAAAUUACCCAAAACCCUAGAAACAAUCAAAAUUCAACUCAAGUAAUUGAACCCCAGAAUUUAGUCCCAGAAGAAUGGAAACAAGUUGUGGAAGAAAUCAAUUUAACCAAGAAAGAAAGGCGCAAACUUGCUCAAGAAUUAGAGUUUGGACAGAAGUUUCAGAAGAAGAAAUUGAUUAGAAAUGUUAACAUAGAAGAGUUUUUGAAGUUAAGAAAUGAAAAGUUAUCCCAAUUGAAGCCACUUGUUCUUGAUAACCCACCUGCGUUUCCUUCAAAAAUUAAAGGAAAUGGUGAUGAAAAUGAUGAUAACAGUAGGAAAGAGCAUGUGAAUGUUGGUGAAAGUUCAAGAGUUGAACCCAAGAACCCUAGAUGGGCUGUUUAUGGUCGUGGAUUGAAUGAUGUUACCGAGUUCUUCAACAGUGGAAAAUACCAGCCUAAUGAUAAAUCUGAUGGACCUCAAAAGCUGUUUACAAAGGAGGAGAAGGCUUUGAUGAAUGCGAGGAAACCUAAACUAGCAGUUGCAACAUCAAAAAAGUGGCUGCCUUUGCAUACACUUGCUGCAUCGGGAGAAUUUUACCUUGUGAACACUUUAUUAAAGCAUGAUGUUGAUAUCAAUGCUUCUGAUCAGGAUGGUUUAACCGCUCUUCAUAUAGCGAUAACGUGCAAAAAGCAGGCCAUUCUAAAUUAUCUUUUGAGAGAGUCGGCUGAUCCGUUGGUCCAGGAUAAGAAUGGAGCAACUUUAAUGCAUUAUGCUGUUCGAGUUGCAUCGAGCCAGAUAAUUAAGACGCUUUUGCUACACAAUGUUGAUAUCAACCUCCAAGACAACAAUGGAUGGACUCCAUUGCAUCUUGCUGUUCAAGCGCGAAGAACAGAUGUUGUGAGGCUCCUCUUAAUGAAAGGAGCAGACAAGACACUCAAGAACAAGCCUACAGAGUACAACCAAUAACUAGUUUUACCAAACAUUAAAGAUUUAUGUUCGGCCGAGACAAUUCGUCCCAUAAUCACCUCGAGAGCCCACUUGUGUGGACACAUCCACCGGUCACCCGUGGGCUCGGGCCCACUAACUCACAGGAUGGUCUAACUCCUUUGGAACUCUGCCUAUAUUCUGGUCGAGACACCAAAACUUACGAGCUCAUCAAGCUAUUGAAAGAGCUACCUAGGCAACAUUCGUGAUUGACUGAUUGUAUAGACUAUGCAGAAUAGUUUAGUCUAGCUUGUAUGAUAAGCUGCUUGCGAAUUGCGAUGAUGGAUAACUGCUGCAUAAGAUAUCCCACAAACCUGAAGUUCCGAUGUAUCUGGACCGAAGGUUACUUUGCUUGCAAAGCCGCUGAAAUUUUAUUUAACAGCCCGACCAACUGAUGGCGGAAUGAUGAAAUUCGUAUAGAAAUAGUAGUUCUUGUAAGUUCGUAUCUUGGCUUGUUCAUCCUGUUUAAUUAACUCUGUGUUCUAUAUAUAUGAUUAUAUGUUUCUAUAUAUUGAAAGGAUUUCAUGAAGGUCAUGAAUUUGUUUUCGGGCUGUCUCAUAUUUGAAAUACGAUCCAUUUAAAGCUCGGUUGGUUUAGAGUCUUCUUUAUAACGAGUCGGAUUAUAACCCCCAUGUCUAAAUAAACCGCCAUACCCGUUAAAAGUCUCUAGUUGAGUUAAGUCUACUCACCAAUUGCACGUAAAAUUGCAAGUUUGCAAUGAUUAACCACAAUAAUAAUGUUAUAGUUUUAAUCACAAAAGAUUCCAUUAACUGUUUGAAAUUGCUAAGUUGCAAAGAUAAU